rnacentral:rRNA from 1 species
CCUUACCAACCCUUGACAUCCCCGGACCGCUCCAGAGAUGGAGUUUCCACUUCGGUGGCCGGGUGACAGGUGCUGCAUGGCUGUCGUCAGCUCGUGUCGUGAGAUGUUCGGUUAAGUCCGGCAACGAGCGCAACCCUUAUCCUUGUUUGCCAGCGAGUAAUGUCGGGAACUCCAGGGAGACUGCCGGUGAUAAACCGGAGGAAGGUGGGGAUGACGUCAAGUCCUCAUGGCCCUUACGGGUUGGGCUACACACGUGCUACAAUGGCAGUGACAAUGGGUUAAUCCCCAAAAACUGUCUCAGUUCGGAUUGGGGUCUGCAACUCGACCCCAUGAAGUCGGAAUCGCUAGUAAUGGCGUAACAGCAUGACGCGGUGAAUACGUUCCCGGGUCUGUACACACCG